rnacentral:rRNA from 1 species
UACGGAGGGGGCUAGCGUUGUUCGGAAUUACCGGGCGUAAAGCGUGCGCAGGCGGUUAUGUAAGACAGAUGUGAAAUGCCCGGGCUUAACCUGGGAACUGCAUUUGUGACUGCAUGGCUAGAGUUUGGCAGAGGGGGGUAGAAUUCCACGUGUAGCAGUGAAAUGCGUAGAUAUGUGGAGGAACACCGAUGGCGAAGGCAGCCCCCUGGGUCAAGACUGACGCUCAUGCACGAAAGCGUGGGGAGCAAACAGG